UGGGAGGAUAGUGGCCUACCAUGGUUUCAACGGGUAACGGGGAAUUAGGGUUCUAUUCCGGAGAGGGAGCCUGAGAAACGGCUACCACAUCCAAGGAAGGCAGCAGGCGCGCAAAUUACCCAAUCCCGACACGGGGAGGUAGUGACAAUAAAUACUGAUACAGGGCUCUUUUGGGUCUUGUAAUUGGAAUGAGUACAAUUUAAAUCCCUUAACGAGGAACAAUUGGAGGGCAAGUCUGGUGCCAGCAGCCGCGGUAAUUCCAGCUCCAAUAGCGUAUAUUAAAGUUGUUGCAGUUAAAAAGCUCGUAGUUGAACCUUGGGCCUGGUUGGUCGGCCGCCUCACCGCGUGCACUGAUCCGACCGGGCCUUUCCUUCUGGGGAGCCGCAUGCCCUUCACUGGGUGUGUCGGGGAACCAGGACUUUUACUUUGAAAAAAUUAAAAGUGUUCAAAGCAGGCCUAUGCUCGAAUACAUUAGCAUGGAAUAAUAGAAUAGGACGUGUGGUCUAUUUUGUUGGUUUCUAGGACCGCCGUAAUGAUUAAUAGGGAUAGUCCGGGGGCAUCAGUAUUCCCGUUGUCAGAAGGUGAAAUUCUUGGAUUUACGGAAGACUAACUACUGCGAAAGCAUUUGCCAAGGAUGUUUUCAUUAAUCAUGAACGAAAGUUAGGGGAUCGAAGACGAUCAGAUACCCGCCGAAUCUUAACCUUAACUAUGCCGACUAGGGAUCGGCGAUGUUAUCUUUUUACUCCUCGGCACCUUACAAGAAAUCAAAGUUUUUGGGUCUGGGGGGAGAUGG
rnacentral:rRNA from 1 species